GCUGUGUAGCUUGCAUCACCCGCUUCUUCUGCAUGUGGUAAUGGGUUUUCUAACCUUUAGAGCUUCCAUCAACAUCAACCGCGUUAGGAAAAGUUCUUCAAUAAUCUAUUCGCGAAAGACUUGAGUCACUGGUACCCAAACCCGUACCCAACGGCAUCAGGAAAUUAGAUCCUCAGAACCGAAAGUCGAAGACUCGCUCCUACAUCUCGAACUCUCAAAGGACGUUAUUCUGAUUGGCCCAUUUCGUCCCAAAGAUACCUUCCCAACCAGCCAUCCCCUAGCUUGAAGGUCUCUCAAGAGCCUGGGGGAACCGUUCCUCAAGAAAGACCAUCAAUGAUGACGACUCCCGUCCGAGGCAAGA
rnacentral:misc_RNA from 1 species